AUACGUAGGUGGCAAGCGUUAUCCGGAUUUACUGGGUGUAAAGGGCGUGUAGGCGGAGAUGCAAGUCAGGAGUGAAAUCUAGGGGCUCAACCCCUAAACUGCUUUUGAAACUGUAUCCCUUGAGUAUCGGAGAGGCAGGCGGAAUUCCUAGUGUAGCGGUGAAAUGCGUAGAUAUUAGGAGGAACACCAGUGGCGAAGGCGGCCUGCUGGACGACAACUGACGCUGAGGCGCGAAAGCGUGGGGAGCAAACAGGAUUAGAUACCCUGGUAGUCCACGCUGUAAACGAUGAAUACUAGGUGUGGGGGGACUGACCCCCUCCGUGCCGCAGUUAACACAAUAAGUAUUCCACCUGGGGAGUACGAUCGCAAGAUUGAAACUCAAAUGAAUUGACGGGG
rnacentral:rRNA from 1 species